CCUACGGGUGGCAGCAGUGGGGAAUAUUGGGCAAUGGGCGCAAGCCUGACCCCGCAACGCCGCGUGAAGGAAGAAGGCUUUCGGGUUGUAAACUUCUUUUCUCAGGGACGAAGAAAGUGACGGUACCUGAGGAAUAAGCCACGGCUAACUACGUGCCAGCCGCCGCGGGAAUACGUAGGUGGCACGCGUUAUCCGGAUUUCUUGGGUGUAAAGGGCGUUUAGGCGGGAGCGCAAGUCAGAGGUGAAACCUCAGGGCUCAACCCUGCGCCUGCGUUUGAACCUGUGUUUCUUGAGUGCUGGUGAGGCAAUCGGAAUGCCGGGUGUAGCGGUGAAAUGCGUAGAUAUACGGAGGAACACCAGUGGCGAAGGCGGAUUGCUGGACAGUAACUGACGCUGAGGCGCGAAAGCGUGGGGAGCAAACAGGAUUAGAUACCCGUGUAGUC
rnacentral:rRNA from 1 species